rnacentral:rRNA from 1 species
CACGUAGGGGGCGAGCGUUGUCCGGAUUUAUUGGGCGUAAAGAGCUCGUAGGCGGCUUGUUGCGUCGACCGUGAAAACCCGGGGCUCAACUUCGGGCUUGCGGUCGAUACGGGCGGGCUAGAGUUCGGUAGGGGAGACUGGAAUUCCCGGUGUAGCGGUGAAAUGCGCAGAUAUCGGGAGGAACACCCGUAGCGAAGGCGGCACUCUGGGCCGGAACUGACGCUGAGGAGCGAAAGCGUGGGGAGCAAACAGG